GCGCCCAUAGCUCAGCUGGAUAGAGCGGCAGACUACGAAUCUGUAGGCCGGGGGUUCGAAUCCCUCUGGGCGCGCCA
rnacentral:tRNA from 1 species